rnacentral:rRNA from 1 species
CGUCUAUAUACGUAUAGCAUAUCAAUAAGCGGAGGAAAAGAAACUAACAAGGAUUCCCCUAGUAACGGCGAGUGAAGCGGGAAGAGCUCAAAUUUGAAAUCUUCAAGGGUUUCCCUUGACGAAUUGUAGUUUAAAGGAGUGUUUUCUGUUAGAGAGGUGGUAAAAGUUCUUUGGAAUAGGACAUCAUAGAGGGUGAGAAUCCCGUAUUUGAUCACUUUCUACUAACGUUGUGAUACACUUUCAAAGAGUCGGAUUGUUUGGGAAUGCAGUCCAAAAUGGGUGGUAAAUUUCAUCUAAAGCUAAAUAUUGGCGAGAGACCGAUAGCGAACAAGUACCGUGAGGGAAAGAUGAAAAGAACUUUGAAAAGAGAGUUAAGCAGUACGUGAAAUUGUCAAAAGGGAAGCGUUUGACACCAGUGUUGUUUAGUUCGAAAAUCAAUUCAAAUAGUUUGACGGAUUCUAGUAGUAUUGACUUCAUCAGCUUGCUGCUUUCUUCUCAGAAAUUAUUGAAUGCACUUUUCAGUUAACAAGUCUACAUCAAUUUCUUUUGUUGUAAAAGGGUAAGAGGAAGGUGGCUUGCGCUUCGGCUCAAGUGUUUAUAGCCUUUUAUCUCUGCAAUCGGAGAGAUUGAGGUCUGCAGCGUAGAUCCUUCGGGGUUAGAUACAUUGGUGCUAAGCUAUAGCCUUGUAUAGACAACUUGUUGACUAUGCUCAGUCAUGUAGCUUACUCGCUGAUGCUAUUUUACCUACGCUUAGGAUGUUGAUAUGCAUGACUGAUAU